rnacentral:rRNA from 1 species
GCCGAAGGCAGGUUCGAUAACUGGGGUGAAGUCGUAACAAGGUAGCCGUAUCGGAAGGUGCGGCUGGAUCACCUCCUUUCUAAGGAA